rnacentral:rRNA from 1 species
UACGUAGGGUGCAAGCGUUGUCCGGAAUCAUUGGGCGUAAAGAGCGUGUAGGCGGCCCGAUAAGUCCGCUCUGAAAGUCCAGGGCUCAACCCUGGGAUGCCGGUGGAUACUGUCGGGCUAGAGUCCGGAAGAGGAGAGUGGAAUUCCUGGUGUAGCGGUGAAAUGCGCAGAUAUCAGGAAGAACACCAAUGGCGAAGGCAGCUCUCUGGGACGGUACUGACGCUGAGACGCGAAAGCGUGGGAGCGAACAGG